AAAAAAAAAAACUUCAGUAAACUGGGGCUAAUACCGGAUAGGAGCUCCUGCUGCAUGGUGGUGGUUGGAAAGUUUCGGCGGUUGGGGAUGGACUCGCGGCUUAUCAGCUUGUUGGUGGGGUAGUGGCUUACCAAGGCUUUGCCGGGUAGCCGGACUGAGAGGGUGAACGGCGACAUUGGGACUGAGAUACGGGCCAGACUCCUACGGGAGGCAGCAGUGGGGAAUAUUGUUUUUUUUUUGAUAGCACGGCGACCACCCAGAUCUACACGAGGGG
rnacentral:rRNA from 1 species